rnacentral:lncRNA from 13 species
UGUGUUAACACAACUAAAACCCACAUGUUUCUGCAAACACACACACACAAGCAACGAGCUGCACACACAGCCCUUGUAGGAACACACACGCAUAUGUAAAAUCACGUGUACAGAGGUCCACACAGCAAUGUGGACCCUCCUGCGCACACACUUACACGCAGAAUCUCUUCAGAUAACCACACGUAUGUGAUGUACACCGUCUGCCCCUCUAGGGCUGCUCAUAUGUGCAAGUGUGUGCGGCAUCCUCACGCAUCACGAGGCUAACGUAGGCUGUGCAGGUAGGACGCGUGAACACGUGUCCAGGUGGGCCUCGUGCUCUCCCACACCAGAAUUCCUGGCGUGGACGUCCCCAGAACACUCUCCUCGUGUUGCGUAAGUCGGGCACCAUGGAGACUUGUUCUCCUGAAAGCCGCCCUUUCCACCCCUGCCCCGGGCCCCGCGUCCAGGCUGCCCGUGCCUCAAGCAGUCCUAGCCUCUGGGGCGCCCGGCUCCCGCCCGCACGGGCCGCAGGCUCUAGGGAACCUCCGCCAGCAGGUGGCGCCGGCAGGAGCCUCGCGCAGACCAGACGGGCAGAAGUAGGACGCAUCCGCGUCUCAGCGCGGAAAUGCGGCCGUGCCGGCGGGCUCCUAACCCCCCUUACUGUGCCGGGACCGAGCCCCGGAAUGAUCUACCAAGAUCACCAGACCGAAGAAAGCCACUCCCGAGAGAAGACAGAAAGGACAAGACCCCGCCCUUCCUUCCCGGAAGGAAACGGGAAGCGGAAGAUCAGGGACGGGAAUGUGGAGGGGCGCAAGGAGCCCCUUCUGCAGGGUCCGCCGAGGGCCCGGGUGUGUGUGCUGGAGAUCUGUGUGCACCUGGGGCAGGGUCCGCAUGAGCAGAGCCAUUGUGCCUUGGCCUUCUGGAUGACUCACUUGGGGAGAAGUCAUUGCUGUGCCAUGAGGACACACCAGCAGCCCUGGGGAGCUGAGGACUCCUGCCAAGCGCCAGCAUCAACUGCCAGCCACGUGAGUGAACCUCCUUGGAAGCAGGUCCUCCAGCCUCAGCCAAGCCUUCAGAUGAUAACAGCCCAGGCUGACAUCCAAUUACAGUCCCAUGAGAGACCCCAGGCCAGGAGAACCCAGCCAAGCCACUCCUGAAUUCCUGACCCCUAGAUAUUGUGAGAGGUUAAUGAAUUGAUAUGGUUGCUUUAAACUGCUAAGUUUUGAGACAAUAUGCAUUGCAGCAGAAAUAGCCAACAUAUAUCCCUAGCAAUAAUGUAGUUUCUAGAACACAGCAGGUGCUCAGGAAAUGUUUAAUGGAUGAAUGAAUGAAGCUUCUAGAAGAAAGGCUACAAGUCAGACAUGACUACUGAUGAGAAAGAGGGAACGGGUGACCAUGGCCAGGAGAGCUAACGUUCCAAACUUGGAAAGAUAAAGUGUAGCCCAGAAACUUGAGAAUUCAGGAAAUGUCAUUACACUUCAUUUUCUUCAAAUCUGCAUAAAUUGACCCCAAGUCAUUAUUACCCAAGAUCCCUCUCUAACCCACCUCAACGUCACCCAAGGAUCUGGGAAAAUGUCCGCUGCGGGAAAAGAGCCUCUCCUCUCCAAAUCUGUGAUGGCCAUUGAUGAUAGCUUCAAGGCUCACACACCAUGAUUCCUGAAAGCCAGGUUACACUACAGCCAUCAGGACUAUCUUGGGAGUCCCCGUGUCUACAAUACAGUCUCUUAGACCCCCAGAAAAGCCAUUCUCUUCUGAGGUCUCACACUCAUUCAGUCAUUCAACAAAUAUUUAUCAGGUGCUCUAUUAGUUAGAGUCCUCUAGAUAGACAGAACAAGUAGGAUAUGUGUAAGAGAGGGUGAGGAGAGAGGGACUGAUUUUAAGGAAUUGGCUUAUGUGUUUAGAGCUGGCAAGCCCAGAAUCUGCAGCACAGGCCAUCAGUCUGGAGACCCAGGGAAGGGCUGAUGGUGCAGCUCAAGCCCAAAGGCCAUCUGCCAGCAGAAUUUUCUUUCCUUCAGGAGAGGUCAAGUCUUUUUUCACUUAAAGCCUUCAACUGAUUAGAUGAGACCCAGCCACAUUACUGAGGGCAAUCUGCUUUACUCAAAUUCUACUGAUUUAAAUGAUAAUCUCAACUAAAAGGUACCUUCACAGUAACAUCCAGAUUCGUGUUUGGCCCUGCUCCCAGGCCCCAGCCCCUCCACCCCCUCCCCACCACGGCCAUCACUCCUCAGAAGUUCCCCUUCCACCUCCCCCAACCCAAUUCCUCCAAGGAGCCCAGACUUAGAAAACAAAAGCCAGAAGGAAGAGUGUUUGUGAGGAACUUCUCUUUUGGCGACACACAUCUCAUCUGCAUAAGCAAGAGAACACAGAAGACCUGGCUGCUUUCUUGGAAAAGGGUGCGGUGGGGAAAAUAUAAAUAGACCAAAAAUUAAUUUCUCAAAAAUUCAAACAGCCACAGAAAUAGCAGCUGCUCCCCACAUCCCACUCCCAGCCGGGCUCUUGAGGUAGGAUUGGGGGUGAGGAGAGGGAUGAAGGGAGAAGCAGCAGGAAAUCUCCAAUUCUUAGAACCCUCUGAUUCAGGAGAACUCACUAAUUUCCUGACAAAAACAAAAGAAAUUCUCCCCCCAAGCUGUCAGACUUCCUCUUCCCAAUACAUCCAACUUUCCGUGGGAAAGGCAAAAGGAAGUCUCUCUACUCACACCCGCUCAGAGACGGGAGCCCAGCACUCCCUCGAGAGAAAGCUACCACACCAAUCUGCAGCCAGAUCAUGGGAGCCACCCCAGAGAGAUCGGAGGCCGUGAUGGCUGCACCCAGAGAGGGGGAGACAGAAAGGGGCACUGGCCUCCUGUGACUGAGCUUCUGUGGACUUGAAGCAGGAAAGCUGGAGGGGGAAGAAGUAAGCCCACACCCAGUCCUCUCCUUAAGGACUGGGAGCUUAAACCAGACCUGCUGCAGGAGAGGGUGGGCAUGGCUCCAGGCCAGAGAGACAAGAAGAGACCUGCUUCUGACCCUCACCUUUCCCUCCCUCCCCCUCUCAUGCUCCACACACACAACACCCUCAGAGAAGAUGGUAUCUGUGAAAUUGAAAUCAAUUCAGCCCAACAAACCGGUGUGCAUUAAAUGUUCUUCUCCGUGAUAGAUGCUCUGCCACGUGCUGGGAAUGCCAAGAGAAAUAAAAUGCAGCCCUGCCCUCUGGAAGCUGAUUCA